UACGGGGGGGGCAAGCGUUGUUCGGAAUUACUGGGCGUAAAGGGCGCGUAGGCGGUUCGCUAAGUUGGAUGUGAAAACUCUGGGCUCAACCCAGAGCCUGCAUCCAAAACUGGCGGGCUAGAGUUCUGGAGGGGGUAGCGGAAUUCCUGGUGUAGCGGUGAAAUGCGUAGAUAUCAGGAGGAACACCGAUGGCGAAGGCAGGUCUCUGGGCAUUAACUGACGCUGAGGAGCGAAAGCAUGGGGAGCGAACAGG
rnacentral:rRNA from 1 species